GAUGAACGCUGGCGGCGUGCCUAAUACAUGCAAGUCGAGCGAACAGACGAGGAGCUUGCUCCUCUGACGUUAGCGGCGGACGGGUGAGUAACACGUGGAUAACCUACCUAUAAGACUGGGAUAACUUCGGGAAACCGGAGCUAAUACCGGAUAAUAUAUUGAACCGCAUGGUUCAAUAGUGAAAGACGGUUUUGCUGUCACUUAUAGAUGGAUCCGCGCCGCAUUAGCUAGUUGGUAAGGUAACGGCUUACCAAGGCAACGAUGCGUAGCCGACCUGAGAGGGGGAGGGGCGAAGCUGGGACUGAGACACGGUCAAGAAGAAGACGUGAGGCAGCAGCAGGGAAGCGGACGUAAGGGUCGAAAGAUUGAAGGAGUAAACAAGCGGGAGAGAUGAAGGGUUUAGGAACCUAAGACCGUGUUAUCAGGGAAGAACAAAUGCGUAAGGAAAGACGAAGGGCCUGACGGUACGUAAUAAGAAAGCCAAGGCUAAAUACGUG
rnacentral:rRNA from 1 species